CUAUCAUUGAACGUAGUUAUAAAGAACGUUGAUGUUCCGAUAUUUCGCCACAAGUUUAUAUUGAGAAUGAUUUCAUUAAUGAAUGAUGGGGUCAAUGCAUGGGUCAAGACGUUCAGCGCGACUGGUCUGCAUGGAGGCUAAUUAAGAAGUGGGGGGCUAAAAAAGCCAUGCAUGGGGGCCAAAUAUACAAUAAUUACCAAUAGCCCAUGCUGGUUCGCGAGAUAAGCAAAGCUGUUCAAAAACAUUUCGGUUUUGGUCUGAAAUGAUUGCUAUCCAGGG